CAGCAGCCACGGGAAUACGUAGGUGGCAAGCGUUGUCCGGAAUUAUUGGGCGUAAAGGGCUCGCAGGCGGUUUCUUAAGUCUGAUGUGAAAGCCCCCGGCUCGACCGGGGAGGGUCAUUGGAAACUGGGAAACUUGAGUGCAGAGGAGGAGAGUGGAAUUCCACGUGUAGCGGUGAAAUGCGUAGAGAUGUGGAGGAACGCCAGUGGCGAAGGCGACUCUCUGGUCUGUAACUGACGCUGAGGAGCGAAAGCGUGGGGAGCGAACAGGAUUAGAUACCCGGGUAGUCCCUGUCUCUUAUAU
rnacentral:rRNA from 1 species